rnacentral:rRNA from 1 species
GACGAACGCUGGCGGCGUGCUUAACACAUGCAAGUCGAACGAAGUGGCGAACGGGUGAGUAACGCGUGAUCAACCUCCCCUUCAGAGGGGGACAACAGUUGAAAACGACUGCUAAUACCGCAUACUGAUGGGGGGGUUUGCGUAUGAUUAGCUAGUUGGAGGGGUAACGGCCCACCGAGGCGAUGAUCAGUAGCCGGUCUGAGAGGAUGAACGGCCACAUUGGGACUGAGACACGGCCCAGACUCCUACGGGAGGCAGCAGUAGGGAAUCUUCGGCAAUGGACGAAAGUCUGACCGAGCCACGCCGCGUGAGUGAAGAAGGUCUUCGGAUCGUAAAACUCUGUUAGUAGAGAAGCGGUACCUAACGAGAAAGCCACGGCUAACUCCGUGCCAGCCGCCGCGGUAAUAC